AUUGAACGCUGGCGGCAGGCCUAACACAUGCAAGUCGAGCGGAUGAAGGGAGCUUGCUCCUGGAUUCAGCGGCGGACGGGUGAGUAAUGCCUAGGAAUCUGCCUGGUAUUGGGGGAUAACGUCCGGAAACGGGCGCUAAUACCGCAUACGUCCUGAGUGAGAAAGUGGGGGAUCUUCGGACCUCACGCUAUCAGAUGAGCCUAGGUCGGAUUAGCGAGUUGGUAAGGUAAAGGCCUACCAAGGCGACGAGGCAUAGCCGACCUGAGAGGGUGAUCGGUCACAGUGGAACUGAGACACGGUCCAGACUCCUACGGGAGGCAGCAGUAGGGAAUCGUCCGCAAUGGGCGAAAGCCUGACGGAGCAACGCCGCGUGAGUGAUGAAGGUCUUCGGAUCGUAAAACUCUGUUAUUAGGGAAGAACAUAUGUGUAAGUAACUGUGCAUAGCUUGACGGUACCUAAUCAGAAAGCCACGGCUAACUACGUG
rnacentral:rRNA from 1 species